rnacentral:rRNA from 1 species
CCUACGGGUGGCUGCAGUGGGGAAUAUUGGACAAUGGGCGAAAGCCUGAUCCAGCCAUGCCGCGUGUGUGAAGAAGGCCUUCGGGUUGUAAAGCACUUUCAGUGGGGAAGAAAGCCUUGGGGCUAAUACCCUCGAGGAAGGACAUCACCCACAGAAGAAGCACCGGCUAACUCCGUGCCAGCAGCCGCGGUAAUACGGAGGGUGCGAGCGUUAAUCGGAAUUACUGGGCGUAAAGCGCGCGUAGGCGGUCUGAUAAGCCGGUUGUGAAAGCCCCGGGCUCAACCUGGGAACGGCACCCGGAACUGUCAGGCUAGAGUGCAGGAGAGGAAGGUAGAAUUCCCGGUGUAGCGGUGAAAUGCGUAGAGAUCGGGAGGAAUACCAGUGGCGAAGGCGGCCUUCUGGACUGACACUGACGCUGAGGUGCGAAAGCGUGGGUAGCAAACAGGAUUAGAUACCCGAGUAGUC